rnacentral:rRNA from 1 species
UACAGAGGUCUCAAGCGUUGUUCGGAUUCAUUGGGCGUAAAGGGUGCGUAGGCGGCGCGGUAAGUCGGGUGUGAAAUCUCGGAGCUUAACUCCGAAACUGCAUUCGAUACUGCCGUGCUUGAGGACUGGAGAGGAGACUGGAAUUUACGGUGUAGCGGUGAAAUGCGUAGAUAUCGUAAGGAAGGCCAGUGGCGAAAGCGGGUCUCUGGACAGUUCCUGACGCUGAGGCACGAAGGUCAGGGGAGCAAACGGG